UCCCUUUCAAAGUCUGACACUAAACCUGCCCUGCAGUUCCAAAACAAACCGCUAGGGUGCCCAAAUCUAUACCACUUACUCUCUGUCCCACGAGCUAUCUACCACUUAAAAAUCAUGACCACAGCACGUCCAGAACUUCAGAUAUCAAACCCAGAAGUUCCACUGCGUAACAAGCCCUUAGGGGGCCAAAAAUCUAAUUGUUUCCAGGUGUUAUCAAGAUCUACCCACAUACCAAUUAUCAAUACAAUCCACCAAGGCGUUCUCCAGUUAUGCCGGUGUUCUACACACAUACAUACACCCGCUACCCAAAAUAUAACCUUUUUGGUGAAGGUAGUUAUUGCCAAAAUGCGAACUUGUAUAAAGGGAUGUGGCCUUUGACGAGUGUACAAGUGCCUCAAUCCCGCGAGACGACAGAACUAUUAUGCUUUUUUAAGUAAAUAUAUGACCUUACGCAGACAACCAUACUUCUCCCGGUGGUUUCGGUAGCAGAGCUCUCUAUAGUGAGCUAUCUCUAUCUGCCGUAACAUGCACGGCCAAAUCAGACAAUGUGAACAGGAAACUAAAGGUGGUUUGGGGAGUUAUAAGUCUGUGGUUUUAUUUCUGGUAAUGUAACGUUACCUCCUACGUUACCCAGUUCAAUACACAAUUCAAAACGCUACGUAUACUAGUACCUUCCCCCUGGGUUCGGGUCUAGCACCCUAAUGCCUAGGUUACACACAGCCGAAUUUAGCUCCCGAACACCAGCCGACUCUUAGCCGACUCAAUUAGGCAGUAGUUCGGGAGCAGUCUGACCAAGUCCUAACAAUCACCCGACCAGUAAAUGACUUACUCCCGACAGUGUCCCGAAUGCCAACUAACCUAUACCCAACCAUCCCGACCUCUAGCCGCAAAUAGCCGAAUCACUCCUGACUGAUUCCCAACCGAUUGCUGACCCUCUCACGACUUGAAAUGGACAUAAUGAGCGAUUUUCAAAAACGUAGCAAUUUCAGUUUUUAAUCUAUUUGUAAACAUCACCAAGAGAUCAAAUUUGGAUCGCAGCUGCAGAUAGCUGUAAUACGGCAUUUAUGUUUUUUGUGCUGGGAGUAAGUCAGCAGUGUUUAUGGCUUGGUUAAACAGUUAAAACUGACUGCUGAAUUACUCCCGAACACUAGCCGACAGUGCCGAACACCAGCCGGCCAAAAGCCAACCCAUUCCAGACCUGCCGUUUAGAGCCGAAUGUUUUGAACAUUUCAAAGCAUUCGAAUGGCGCAGCCGAACACCAGCCCACUCAGCCGAAUGCCAGCCACCUUAGCUCCCGAAUCACACCUAACCAUAGUCGGGAGAGAGUCGGAAGCCAAAUUCGGCUAUGUGUAACCUAGGCAUAAGAGAGAGAUGGAAGGACCGAGUGAGGAACUCUGUACUGUACGGUGACCUCCCUACACUCUCUCAUAAGAUCAGGAAACGGAGGAUGGCGCUGGCCGGACACUGUGUCCGACAAACAGAACUGGUAGCCAACGAGCUGAUCCUCUGAGAGCCAACAGAGGGAAAGAGAAGAAGGGGCAGACAGCGCACUACGUUCAUCAAUAACCUUAAAAGGGACACCCAAAUCAUCAACAUCAACAAAGCACAGUUUCGCUCUCUCAUGGAGGAUAAGGCUGAGUGAAGAAGAAGAAUCUAUUGUGACCCGUGAUGACAUCCCUGAUGUCCACGUUCAAGGUUCAAGAGUAAGAUAUAUAAUACCCGGGCCGUAUACAUGUUUGAAACAGUGUUCCGACCGGUCCGUAUUUUACAGUUAGGUCGGGGCUCCAUGCUUCGAUUUCAACGAUUUGAAUUAGGGCCCUAGGGCACACGACUAAUUUUCCUGGACUUCAUAACUAAAUAUCAUGACAUACCAACAUACAAAACAUCAAAUAUUUACAUAUAUGUCAUGUCACUACUUUAUGGUCAUGCCAUUAAUACGUUAACAUAUUGCACAAAAGUUGAACAGCCGAGAGCGUUUUUCAGUUCAAAUUGGAAAGUAGUUCCAUUUGUGAUUGACUUGAAAGGUUGGGCGGACUGCAGCGCCACGGGUAGUCUCUUCCACAUUGAUGUUGCUCUAUUCCUAAAUGUCAUUUUCAAUUAGUUUGUCCUUGUAACUUGACAUUAAACUUUGCAGCAAAACGAGUACUGUGGCUAUUUUGUUUGUUAGCAACAAUUCGAAAGUUUAUUUGCAAGUCCUUGCCCGAGGGUUCAUUGGAACAUGGAACAUACAGAAUAUAUAGUAAAUGAAAUACUUGGUAUAGAUAACAAUGGUGACAAGUGGAAACAAGUGACUAUUCUAGUAAUAAUAUGGACUGCUGAGAGCUACGAUCUAAGCAUUUGGGGUUUGACGUCUUUUCUGGAAGCAGUGGAAGACGAAGUGCCCCACUUUUUCUACGAUCAGUAGGUUAUAUGACGUUAAGUUAACAGAGGUCAGUUUACUACUGAGACAGACAGGUUCAUUAGUGAAGCAUCCUCCUAACGCCCGGGCCCCAUAGGCUGAGUCAGCUAGACGUUGGGGACCGUACGUAGGAGAAUGUAGUGAAGACAAUUCUCCUGAAAGUAGCCAUAGUGUUCAUUAACAGUCUGGUGUUCACGGGUUUCCACUGCGGUUUCAUCUGGAGGAGACGAGUGGUCUUGUUCUGCACUCGUUGUAGGUCCUGUAGUUUAUGUUCCUCUUCGUCGUGCUAGACCACACUGGGCUGCAAUAGUCAAUGUGAGAUAAUAUGUACAAGGCAUUCAAUUGUCAUGUUUAACAGCGUCUGGGCCAUGAAUUUCGCGCACAUCUUAACCAUUCCAAGAGACAUGGCUAUUUUCUUUGAGGUAGAUUUCCUGUGAGUGUUCCAGGUGAAACAUUCAUCAACAGUAGUACCAAGAAGUUUUACCUAUGUGACUUGUUCUAUAUGUUUGCAAGUCAAGGCAGUCAAGGCAAGUUUGGGUCUUUUUGACUUUUUACUUUUGCUUCCGAGAACUAUAUGCAUUUUGUGUUUUGUGUAUUCAUAAAAAGCUGUUUCGCUCUUACCCAGUUGCAGAUAUUUUUUCGCCUCUGUUUGUAGAUUGUUUCAGCUGCAGGGCCACAGGUGUAGGCUGAGGUGUCGUCAGUGACUUAUAGCAAGCGGCAAGUCGUUACUGCAGCAUGAUGAGUUGUAGGCGG